AUUGAACGCUGGCGGCAGGCUUAACACAUGCAAGUCGAGCGGGGAAGGUUGCUUCGGUAACUGACCUAGCGGCGGACGGGUGAGUAAUGCUUAGGAAUCUGCCUAUUAGUGGGGGACAACAUUCCGAAAGGGAUGCUAAUACCGUAUACGUCCUACGGGAGAAAGCAGGGGAUCAUUUGACCUUGCGCUAAUAGAUGAGCCUAAGUCGGAUUAGCUAGUUGGUAGGGUAAAGGCCUACCAAGGCGACGAUCUGUAGCGGGUCUGAGAGGAUGAUCCGCCACACUGGGACUGAGACACGGCCCAGACUCCUACGGGAGGCAGCAGUGGGGAAUAUUGGACAAUGGGGGGAACCCUGAUCCAGCCAUGCCGCGUGUGUGAAGAAGGCCUUUUGGUUGUAAAGCACUUUAAGCGAGGAGGAGGCUCUCUUGGUUAAUACCUGAGAAGAGUGGACGUUACUCGCAGAAUAAGCACCGGCUAACUCUGUGCCAGCCGCCGCCGUAA
rnacentral:rRNA from 1 species